GAUGAACGCUGGCGGCGUGCCUAAUACAUGCAAGUCGAGCGAACAGAUAAGGAGCUUGCUCCUUUGACGUUAGCGGCGGACGGGUGAGCAACACGUGGGUAACCUACCUAUAAGACUGGAAUAACUCCGGGAAACCGGGGCUAAUGCCGGAUAACAUUUAGAACCGCAUGGUUCUAAAGUGAAAGAUGGUUUUGCUAUCACUUAUAGAUGGACCCGCGCCGUAUUAGCUAGUUGGUAAGGUAACGGCUUACCAAGGCAACGAUACGUAGCCGACCUGAGAGGGUGAUCGGCCACACUGGAACUGAGACACGGUCCAGACUCCUACGGGAGGCAGCAGUAGGGAAUCUUCCGCAAUGGGCGAAAGCCUGACGGAGCAACGCCGCGUGAGUGAUGAAGGUCUUCGGAUCGUAAAACUCUGUUAUUAGGGAAGAACAAAUGUGUAAGUAACUGUGCACGUCUUGACGGUACCUAAUCAGAAAGCCACGGCUAACUACGUG
rnacentral:rRNA from 1 species